rnacentral:rRNA from 1 species
AGCACGGGUAGCAAUACCUGGUGGCGACCGGCAAACGGGUGCGGAACACGUACAGAACCUUCCUUUAAGCGGGGGAUAGCCCAGAGAAAUUUGGAUUAAUACCCCAUAGUAUAGUGGUGUGGCAUCACACUGUUAUUAAAGAUUUAUCACUUAAAGAUGGCUGUGCGUAUGAUUAGGUAGUUGGUGUGGGUAACGGCCCACCAAGCCUACGAUCAUUAACUGGUGUGAGAGCACGACCAGUCACACGGGCACUGAGACACGGGCCCGACUCCUACGGGAGGCAGCAGUAAGGAAUAUUGGUCAAUGGACGCAAGUCUGAACCAGCCAUGCCGCGUGAAGGAUGAAGGUCCUCUGGAUUGUAAACUUCUUUUAUAGGGGAAGAAAUGUGCGAAUUCUUUUGCAUUUGACGGUACCCUAGGAAUAAGCACCGGCUAACUCCGUGCCAGCAGCCGCGGUAAUACGGAGGGUGCAAGCGUUAUCCGGAUUCACUGGGUUUAAAGGGUGCGUAGGUGGGAAUGAAAGUCAGUGGUGAAAUCUCCGGGCUUAACUCGGAAACUGCCAUUGAUACUUUGUUUCUUGAAUCUUCUGGAGGUCAGCGGAAUAUGUCAUGUAGCGGUGAAAUGCUUAGAUAUGACAUAGAACACCAAUUGCGAAGGCAGCUGACUACGGGAGCAUUGACACUGAGGCACGAAAGCGUGGGGGAUCAAACAGGAUUAGAUACCCUGGUAGUCCACGCCCUAAACGAUGGAUACUCGACGUGCGCGAUACACAGUGCGCGUCUG